GACGAACGCUGGCGGCGUGCUUAACACAUGCAAGUCGAACGGUGAAGCUCCAGCUUGCUGGAGUGGAUCAGUGGCGAACGGGUGAGUAACACGUGAGCAACCUGCCCCUGACUCUGGAAUAAGCGCUGGAAACGGCGUCUAAUACUGGAUACGAGACGGUUCCGCUUGGGCACUUUCUGGAAGGUUUUUCGGUUGGGGAUGGGCUCGCGGCCUAUCAGCUUGUUGGUGAGGUAAUGGCUCACCAAGGCGACGACGGGUAGCCGGCCUGAGAGGGCGACCGGCCACACUGGGACUGAGAUACGGCCCAGACUCCUACGGGAGGCAGCAGUGGGGAAUAUUGCACAAUGGGCGAAAGCCUGAUGCAGCGACGCCGCGUGAGGGAUGACGGCCUUCGGGUUGUAAACCUCUUUCAGCAGGGAAGAAGCGAAAGUGACGGUACCUGCAGAAGAAGCACCGGCUAACUACGUG
rnacentral:rRNA from 1 species